rnacentral:rRNA from 1 species
GACGAACCGUGCGAACGUUGUUCGGAAUCACUGGGCUUAAAGGGCGCGUAGGCGGCAGAUCAAGUCCGGGGUGAAAUCCUCCAGCUCAACUGGAGAAGUGCCUUGGAUACUGAUGUGCUCGAGGGAGGUAGGGGUCCGCGGAACUUCUGGUGGAGCGGUGAAAUGCGUUGAUAUCAGAAGGAACGCCGGUGGCGAAAGCGGCGGACUGGAUCUCUUCUGACGCUGAGGCGCGAAGCUAGGGGAGCAAACGGG